rnacentral:rRNA from 1 species
CCUACGGGAGGCAGCAGUGGGGGAUAUUGCACAAUGGGGGAAACCCUGAUGCCGCGACGCCGCGUGUGGGAAGACGGUCUUCUGGAUUGUAAACCACUGUCCCCAGGGACGAAAAUGACGGUACCUGGGGAGGAAGCUCCGGCUAACUACGUGCCAGCAGCCGCGGUAAUACGUAGGGAGCAAGCGUUGUCCGGAAUUACUGGGUGUAAAGUGAGCGUAGGCGGGGAUGCAAGUUGGGUGUAAAAACUACCGGCUCAACCGAUAGUCGCACUCAAAACUGCAGCUCUUGAGUGAAGUAGAGGCAGGCGGAAUUCCUAGUGUAGCGGUGAAAUGCGUAGAGAUUAGGAGGAACACCAGUGGCGAAGGCGGCCUGCUGGGCUUUUACUGACGCUGAGGCUCGAAAGUGUGGGGAGCAAACAGGAUUAGAUACCCGAGUAGUC